CUUGGUCAUUUAGAGGAAGUAAAAGUCGUAACAAGGUUUCCGAGGUGAACCUGCGGAAGGAUCAUUACCGAGUUAGGGUCUUAUAGGCCCGCCUCCAACCCUUUGUUUACUACACCAUGUUGCUUUGGCGGGCCCGCCUUUGGGGCCGCCGGGGGUUUACAAGCCCCUGGUCAGUGUUCGCCAGUAGCCUAUUAAAUUCUUUUAUAAUUAUGUCGUCUGAGUAUAAAUAUAAAUCGUUAAACUUUCAACAACGGAUCUCUUGGUUCUGGCAUCGAUGAAGAACGCAGGAAAUGCGAUAAGUAAUGCGAAUUGCAGAAUUCAGUGAGUCAUCGAAUCUUGAACGCAUAUUGCGCCCUUUGGUAUUCCGAAGGGCAUGCCUGUUCGACGUCAUUAUCAACCAUCAAGCCUGGCUUGUCGUUGGACCUCUUUACCGCGAAAUAUGUGGUAGGUCCGAAAGAUAAUGACGGCGUCGUGUUUGACCCUGAUGCAACGAGCUUUUUAUAGCACGCAUUGAAGUGGUCGGCCGACCCGGCUUUAACCAUUAUUUUCUAAGGUUGACCUCGGAUCAGGUAGGAAUACCCCUGAACUUAAGCAUAUCAAUAAGCGGAGGA
rnacentral:rRNA from 1 species